rnacentral:rRNA from 1 species
UACGGGAGGCAGCAGUGGGGAAUUUUGGACAAUGGGCGAAAGCCUGAUCCAGCAAUGCCGCGUGCAGGAUGAAGGCCCUCGGGUUGUAAACUGCUUUUGUACGGAACGAAAAGCCUGGGGCUAAUACCCCCGGGUCAUGACGGUACCGUAAGAAUAAGCACCGGCUAACUACGUGCCAGCAGCCGCGGUAAUACGUAGGGUGCAAGCGUUAAUCGGAAUUACUGGGCGUAAAGCGUGCGCAGGCGGUUUUUGUAAGACAGUGGUGAAAUCCCCGGGCUCAACCUGGGAACUGCCAUUGUGACUGCAAAGCUAGAGUGCGGCAGAGGGGGAUGGAAUUCCGCGUGUAGCAGUGAAAUGCGUAGAUAUGCGGAGGAACACCGAUGGCGAAGGCAAUCCCCUGGGCCUGCACUGACGCUCAUGCACGAAAGCGUGGGGAGCAAACAGGAUUAGAUAACC